GCAUUCAAAACUGGUUAGCUAGAGUACAGUAGAGGUGAGUGGAAUUUCCGGUGUAGCGGUGAAAUGUGUAGAGAUCGGAAGGAACACCAGUGGCGAAGGCGACUCACUGGACUGAUACUGACGCUGAGGCGCGAAGGCGUGGGGAGCAAACAGGAUUAGAGACCCUGGUAGUCCACGCGGUAAACGAUGAGAACUAGCUGUUGGGGUGGGAAGACACUCGAGUAGCGAAGCAAACGUGUUAAGUUCUCCGCUUGGGGAGUACGGUCGCAAGUAUUAAAACUCAAAGGAAUUGUCGGGGCCCCGCACAAGCGGUGGAGCAUGUUGUUUUAAUUCGAUGAAACGCGAAGACCUUUUCAUACUCUUGACAUCCCUGGAAGGCUCUGUAAUUGGAGUUGUGCCUUCGGGAACCGGGUCACAGGUUGCACAUGGCUGUUCUCAACUUGUGUCGUGAGAUUUUGGGUUAAGUCCCGUAAAGAGCACACCCCUUCUCUUUAGUUCCCAUCAUUAAGUUGGGGACUCUAAGGAGACUGCCGGUGAUAAACCGGAGGAAGGUGGGGACGACGUCAAGUCAUCAUGGCCUUUAUGAGUAGGGCUACACACGUGCUACAAUGGUCGGUACAAAGGGAAGCGAAGCCGCGAGGUGAAGCCAAUCUCACAAACCCGAUCGCAGUCCGGAUUGCAGUCUGCAACUCG
rnacentral:rRNA from 1 species